UGAGAUGCUUUUAAAGUGUAAACAUAUUACUGCAAUUUCGAGGGGUUAUUUGUUUUUUCUCAAUUUUGAAGGGUCAAUUAAAGUAGCUGAAAGUUUCAUUCUUUAUUUUCACAAAUAAUGCAACUAUAUUAUAUAUACCUUAAUGUAAGUAAAUCAUAUGAUAUAUAGGUGGCAUUCUUUGGGCCACUCUACCCCCUCCUGUUUGAUAACUUGGAAACGGUCGAGCUCCCCACCCUAAACCAUAUGAGGGGCAGAUCCAGGAUUUUAGGUUAGGAGGGGCGCAAACUUAAAUUUUCGCCGAGCAGAGCGAGGCUAAAAAAAAAUUGAGGUAAAAUUAUCGGAAUUUUUCUUUAUUAAGCUGAGAACAACCCAUGCUUUGCAAAUUUAAGGGGGGUGCAAGCCCGCAACCCUCCCCCGUCUGAAUCCGCCCCUGCAUAUAUUCAAGUAUAGGACAAUAUAAUAAAUAAAAAAUGAAAUAUAGGGGGAGUCCCUGGAGUUACCCCACCCCUUCCUGUUUGAGAACUUGGAAACGGUCGAGAUCCACACCCCUUAACCAUAUAUAUUCAUGUUUGUGACAAUAUGAAAAAUCAAAUGAAAUAUAGGAAGAGUCGCUAGGGGUCACCCCACCCCUCCUGUUUUAGAAUUUAAAAAUGGUCGAGAUCCCCAUCCCUAAACCAUAUAUAUUCAUGUAUGGGACAAUAUAACAAAUCAGAUGAAAGAUAGGGGAGUCCCUGAGGUCACUGUUCACCCUCCUGUUUGAGAACUUGGAAAUGGUCAAGAUCCUUACCCUAAACCAUAUAUACUCAUGUAUGGGACAAUAUAACAAAUCAAAUGAAAUAUAAGGGAAGUCCCUGUGGUCAUCCCAACCCUCCUGUUUGAGAACUUGGAAACGGUCGAGAUCCCCACACCAAAACAAUAUAUAUUCAUGUAUGGAUCAAUAUAACUAAUUAAAUGAAAUAUAGGGGGAGUCCCUUGGGUCACCCUACCUUCCUGUUUGAGAACUUGGAAACCAAUGAGAUCCCCCCCUAAACCAUAUAUAUUCAUGUAUGGGGACAAUAUAACAAAUAAAAUGAAAUGUAGGGGAAGUCCCUAGGGUCACCCUACCCCCAGUGGCGGAUCCAGAAAUUUUCAUAAGUGGGGCCCACUGACUGACCUAAGAGGGGCCCGCUCCAGUGAUUCCCUAUAUAAGCAACCAAAUUUUUUCCAAAAAAGGGGGGGGGGCCGGGCCCCCUGCCCCCUAAAUCCUCUGCCUACCCCUACCUGUUUGAGAACUUGAAAACCGUUGAGAUCCCCACCCCUAAAUUAUAUAUAUUCAUAUGUAUGGGACAAAAUAACAAAUCAUUUACAUUUACUAUGGGCAAGUCAGUCAGACCUCAUCUUUGAUCCCUGUUGUAGUGAACAUUUGUCUGAUUCGUGUCUCAUAACUUUUGUACUAUAGAAC
rnacentral:lncRNA from 1 species